CAGCGGCCCUAGUGGUGAUCGUUAUUAUUGGGCCUAAAGCGUCCGUAGCCGGUUCGGUAAAUCUCUGGGUAAAUCGUUGGGCUUAACUCAACGAAUUCUGGGGAGACUGCCGAACUUGGGACCGGGAGAGGUCGGAGGUACUCCAGGGGUAGGGGUGAAAUCCUGUAAUCCUUGGGGGACCACCGGUGGCGAAGGCGUCCGACCAGAACGGGUCCGACGGUAAGGGACGAAGCCCUGGGGCGCGAACCGGAUUAGAUACCCGAGUAGUCC
rnacentral:rRNA from 1 species